GGGGGGCUGCUCCUAGUACGAGAGGACCGGAGUGGACGCAUCACUGGUGUUCGGGUUGUCAUGCCAAUGGCACUGCCCGGUAGCUAAAUGCGGAAGAGAUAAGUGCUGAAAGCAUCUAAGCACGAAACUUGCCCCGAGAUGAGUUCUCCCUGACUCCUUGAGAGUCCUGAAGGAACGUUGAAGACGACGACGUUGAUAGGCCGGGUGUGUAAGCGCAGCGAUGCGUUGAGCUAACCGGUACUAAUGAACCGUGAGGCUUAACCUUACAACGCCGAAGCUGUU
rnacentral:rRNA from 2 species